AGUUAAAAAGCUCGUAGUUGGAUUUCAGUCUUAGCACGGCUGGCCCGCUCCCUUGAGGAGCCGAGUGCCGGUGUGUGCUGGACUUCCUUCUGGCAAGGAUCUUCUACCUCUAUGAGGCCGGGAGUGACUUCUGGAUCAUUUACUUUGAAGAAAUUAGAGUGUUCAAAGCAAGCUUACGCUGUGAAUAUAUUAGCAUGGAAUAAUAACAUAGGACUUGGGUUCUAUUUUGUUGGUUUUCUGAAUCUAAGUAAUGAUUGAUAGGGACAGUUGGGGGUGCUGCUAUUAUAUGGCCAGAGGUGAAAUUCACGGAUUCAUAUAAGGGCAACUUAUGCGAAAGCAUUCACCAAGGAUGUCUUCUUUAAUCAAGAACGAAAGUUGGGGGAUCGAAGACGAUCAGAUACCGUCGUAGUCUCAACCAUAAACUAUGCCGACUAGGGAUUGGUGGACGUUGAAUUUCCGACUCCAUCAGCACCUCAU
rnacentral:rRNA from 1 species